rnacentral:rRNA from 1 species
GGCCUACGGGGGGCAGCAGUGGGGAAUAUUGCACAAUGGGGGGAACCCUGAUGCAGCGACGCCGCGUGGGUGAAGGAGUACUUCGGUACGUAAAGCCCUAUCAGCAGGAAAGAAAAUGACGGUACCUGAAGAAGAAGCCCCGGCUAACUACGUGCCAGCAGCCGCGGUAAUACGUAGGGGGCUAGCGUUAUCCGGAAUUACUGGGCGUAAAGGGUGCGUAGGUGGUUUCUUAAGUCAGAGGUGAAAGGCUACGGCUCAACCGUAGUAAGCCUUUGAAACUGGGAAACUUGAGUGCUGGAGAGGGG